rnacentral:misc_RNA from 1 species
UUCUCUGCGUUGAGCAAGUGACGUGGACUAUGGGCCUAACCCCUCUCAUUCUGAGAGGAGACUCGAGCUCAGCAGUGAGCCGAAUAUGGUAUUUUUAUAUGGUGAGCUUCCAUCAUAGGAUAAGUUGGUUUAAGAUUUGGAGUAGGCUUAUUCAGUACUAGCAGACACACCAUAGUUUGACCGGUGUAGUUCCCGUUCCUGUGGGAAUAUGGGGUAGCACAGAGUAAUACGGGCUAUAUUUUAUAUAGCCUAUAUUACUCUGUGCUGUAGCUUACCAAUGGCGAAAGAUUUUUUAUAAUCAGUCCAGUAGUAUUUGUGUUAGAUUGUAAGAAACAAAUAAUAUUAUCUAAAGAUCGGUCACUGUCAUCCUAAGAACCUAAAUUAAACCAUUGAAUAUUAUUUACAGGUCUUGGCAGCUUUAAACUUUUAUGCCAAUGGAUCAUACAAAUGGCUUUGUGAUGGCUAAGGCAUCUUUUAGCAAAUGCCUACAUGAAGUCGCUGACGCUCCUGAAUACCCCAGCUGUUUAAAAAAAAUGUGUUAAGUUCCCUUUGCAUUAAACACAAAAUCAUUAUAAAUAAAUAUGUGAUGCCAAUCUAAUAAUAACAUAGUGGAUGCUCAAUUUGAUGGUGCAUCUUAUGACUUGUACAUAUGGAACCAGUGCAAUAAGACCACUUGAGGAAAACCUGCCCAAUAGGGACCGCUGUUGGUUGUUAGGUGACCAAUGUUUGCAUGAUGACCCCCAUCUUGGGAGCUGCUCCUAGAUCCCAUGAAGAUAUGCACAACAUUGCUGUGUCAGAAAUACGGUGGAGCCUUGUAGUUGGGUGCAUAUUGUAAAAUGUUUCCUCACUCCAAAACCAUGAACUCUGGUUUCCUAAACCCUCAAGCUAUGCAGCCGAAGGAGGAGACUUAUCACAGGAGAAUCACUAAUAAUUUUGAAGAAGUGAAGAGCUUAACAAUGUUUCAACCAACACCUAAAGAAGCUUUCACUUGGCUGUUAGAUCAAGGGCUGGAUACAGAAAACAGUAAUCCUUGUGAUGGCAGUAUUGUCCAAGGAUUCCUCACUCAAAACCAUGAUAACAAGUUGCUAGAACCCUCAAGCUAUGCAGACAAAGGACUGGAUAUAUUUUUUCGUGACCAAGCCUUCUGUAUAAUUAUUUAUACUUAAACCAUACAAAGCACUAUCUAGCCCCAAAGUAGGCAUACAGAGUAGCUUGUGUUGUGGGUACUAAGAUAGUUGAUAUUAUAAUAUUCAUUUACAUUUAUAUACUACCUAUAAAUACUUAUAUAAUGUAUAAAUACACACACACUGGAAAAAACCCAUGCUCUUCACACAAAUAUUUUCCAGGUGUGGGAAUCGAACCCAUGACCGUGGAUGCAGGAGCACUACUUACUGCGCCACGCGUAUGUGUUUUUAUUUUGAAGCAAAUUAUUAAAGUUGAUAAUUCAAAUUGUAGUCAUGUUUUUAAUUAAUCUAUAAUUAAUUUUUAAUUUACAUUUUUGUUAAAUAUUUACCUAUACUUCAGUCUAUUUUUGUUAGAGGGGGUACCUAUAUGUGUAAGUAGGGUCGUUUCUUGAUUAAAUUAAACUAAAGAAUGAAAGAUAUAUAUUAUAACAAAAUUUGUCAACAACAAUAUAUCAAGUCUGAAUAAAAAAUACCAACACAA